GGUGGCUCAAUGGUAGAGCGCUUGCCUUGCAUGCAUAAGGCCCUGGGUUCGAUUCCCCAGCACCA
rnacentral:tRNA from 1 species